rnacentral:rRNA from 1 species
GACGAACGCUGGCGGCGUGCUUAACACAUGCCAGUCGAACGGAAAGGCCCUGCUUUUGUGGGGUGCUCGAGUGGCGAACGGGUGAGUAACACGUGAGUAACCUGCCCUUGACUUUGGGAUAACUUCAGGAAACUGGGGCUAAUACCGGAUAGGAGCUCCUGCUGCAUGGUGGGGGUUGGAAAGUUUCGGCGGUUGGGGAUGGACUCGCGGCUUAUCAGCUUGUUGGUGGGGUAGUGGCUUACCAAGGCUUUGACGGGUAGCCGGCCUGAGAGGGUGACCGGCCACAUUGGGACUGAGAUACGGCCCAGGCUCCUACGGGAGGCAGCAGUGGGAAUAUUGCACAAUGGGCGGAAGCCUGAUGCAGCAACGCCGCGUGCGGGAUGACGGCCUUCGGGUUGUAAACCGCUUUCGCCUGUGACGAAGCGUGAGUGACGGUAAUGGGUAAAGAAGCACCGGCUAACUACGUG